AUGUAGCCCAGAGCCGGUGGCUCCCCCUCCUAAAACCUUCCUGUGGCUUCCUGGCUCAUUGAGGGUGAAAUGUACAAAUACCACAGGCCAGAGUCACACGAGGCGCCACAGGACUGGCCCGCGCCCUCCCUGAGCUCUCUCUCUGCUCUCUCCCUGUCACUCAUUUCACCUGGCCACACUCUGACCUUUCUCUUCUUCAGACACACCAAGCUCAUUCCGACCUCAGGGAUUUUGCACCGGCUUUUGCUGCUAACCAGCAUGCUCAUUCCCCAACCUCUGAUUUAAUUCUUU
rnacentral:lncRNA from 1 species